CUUUAAGGCUAUAUGCUUUCUUCCUGACCAUUCAAGGCCCUUUGGUAUUUUUAUUUCAGAUGCUUCACUCUUUUCAGAGUCCUCCUAUCCUUCUACAAGAGGCUGAGUUCCACCACUGCUCCGCACUGGCCCACCUUGCCCUUCUUGUUCUUCAGAGCACAAGUAGCUCAUCCACAGAGGGCUGAAGACAGAUGGAGAGCUGCCGCCGCCCAGGAAAGCAGAAAUCGUCUGGUCAUUGUGGCGAAUCACCAUUAGCCUUCAGUGUUUCUCAGCUGACCGCCAGCAUGGUUUGUCUUUCGAAUCUAGAAGCAGCUCAGAACCCUGGUGAGCAGGAAGGUACACAGAUGGUGUCCCCUUGCCGGUCCUCACUACUGGCCCAUCGUCAGCGAAAAGGAGGUCUGAAUUUCCAAAAAGAUGGCUAGGGGAGAAGGAGGAAAGAACAAAUAGAACACGAGCUUUGAUGGAUGUA